rnacentral:lncRNA from 1 species
GCAAGAAAUAAGGGACCGAUCGCUGGUGGAUACAACCACGUGGGUGAAUCUCACAGACAGUACCUUGAGCGAAAAAAAACCAGACUGUAUGAUUCCGUCUAUAGAAAGUACAAGAGCAAGAAAACGAAUCUAUGGUCAGAGAAGGCAAGAGGAGUGGUGAUUUCCAGGGGUAGGUUGUUGGGAAGGAGGUAGUUCCCUGGAGUUCUGGAAAUGCUCCAUGUCUUGUUUUCGGGGGCGGUGAUAUGUGUAAAAUUCAUCAAACUCUGUGCUGAGGACGUGGGCGGUCCUUAUACUUUGAUAGUGCACUCGUAUGGUGUGUUAAAACAUUGGAAAAAGUACACCUAACUUUCCUUGUUCUGGCAGCAUUGGUGCACGGGCACGGGAGCGGGUCAAGGAAGGAGUCUAAAUGGAGCGCGACCAUGGUCCUUCCAAGAUAUGCGGUUCGUGGGACUCCGUAUAAAACAUCUCAGAGGAAUUUCCUGAGAGAGGCUGGUCUUCGCCUGAAGCAGGGGGCCAGACCAGAUACCAAGGAGAGGAUGCGCCCAUGGGGAAAUCCACGGGGCGGGGUCGGUGACGACAAGGUCCUGAGACUCUACCCAGUUUGACCUUGGAGUUUCCAAGUCCCCAGAUCCUCUCUCCUGUGGACCCCAGGACACUCACCCUUCUUGGGGUGGGAUGAUGGCACAACUGUGAGGAGGGACAGCUGGCACCAGCCCCGCCCAAGUCCAUAUCUCUCUCAGGGCCCAUCAUAAAUGUGUCCUGCAGCAAUUAUGGCCUGGUUUAGGCCAAUCACAAAGGAAGAGGUUGUCCUUGUCAGACUGUUUCUCCAACAGCUGCAGCAGUGCCUGGCAGGGACCCAAUUCAAAUUAGCUUAGAGAAGAGGAGACUCACUGGCUCAUAUAACUGAAGAAGACAUGGAUGGGACUGAGAAAUACUAGAGCCAGCCUCUUUCUCUCUGACAUUUUUUUUCUGUUACUCCGCACGAGUGUCUCAUGGUCCCUUCCUGCGGGCUUCCUCUCCAUGUGGCCUGAGACAUGACAGCCAGAUACCUCCCAACUCACCUCCUCAGAACUUCAUGGCCAGAGGAAGAGUGACUCCAUUCUAGCACCAGAGAGGAAAUCUGAGGAAGGAUUCUGAUGGUCCAGCGGGGCUCUGGGCCCUUCUCCAGACCCGUCAUUACACACUGGAGAGUACAAUGUGUCAGCUCCUACGGAAACAUGUAGCUGACCUGCCUGUGGUAGAUUGCAGUCAUCUGCCUUGCGAUCUUCUCCCUCUAGUCACACCUCUUGCAAUGUGACCUUGAAGUUCUCAUCAAGAGCUGGAGUCUAUUUUCCUAUGCUGUCAAUCGGGGCUGGCCUUGUGACUCGUUUUGACCAAAGGAACGAGGUAGAAGUAAUAUUGUCUCAAUUCUGAGAUUUAAGCAGUCCUGCGUACUUCCUCUUUAUCUCUCAUAACCUGCUACCACCAUUGGAACAAGCCCAGGCGAGCCUGAUGGGUGAUGAGACACCCAUGGCCAGUUACCCCAUCUCCACAGUUGACUGCAAGCCAACUACCAAACAUGUGAGCGAGGCCAUGCUAAACCAACCUGCCUGCUGACUGCGGAUACGCGAGUGAGCCAACUGAGCUUAGAAGAGCCUGGCCCGGAUCAGUAGAACUGUUCACUCAACCCACAGGCUCAUGGGAAAAAAUAAACAGUUGUUUUAAGCUAUGAAUAAUAAAUACCUGUUUGUUAUGCAGCAGAAGUUAAGUGAUACGCUGGCUAAGUGUCUGUCAAACCCAUGGGAACGGACACAACCUUGCCUUCCAGUCCACAAUGACUGAUCCAGGAAGUGGACAUAGAACUGAGCCUGCCAAGCAGGAUCCUUCCCUAGGAUUCUCUCUUGUAGCUCCAUGUAGUUAGGUUGCCUUCUCUCUGAACUCCAUCCUGCUACCUUUGCAGUUAGGUAACCAUGUGAUUGAGUCCCAAUCAAUAGAAUGUGGGCCUUGCCCACAAACUCACUCCCUGCGGGGGACUGCUGUCUUUUCCCAUCGGGUGGCCUCAUGUAGAGGGCUCCAGGACCCAAAGGAGGGCAGGAUUACAAGAAGGGAAGAGCCUGAAUUCUUGAGUGACCACACAGAUGGUCCCAACCAGAAAUACCCACCGUGAGCUGUGAUGUGAAUGUUGUAUGAAACCACUGAUAGUGUGCUGUUAACUAUUACAACAGCAUAGCUCAGCUCGCAUAUCAGAGAGGGGCAGAAAGAGGAACAGAGUGAUUC